UACGUAGGGUGCGAGCGUUUGUCCGGAAUUAUUGGGCGUAAAGAGCUCGUAGGCGGCCUGAUAAGUAGGGGGUGAAAUCCUGCGGCUUAACCGCAGGGCUGCCUUCUAAACUGUCAGGCUAGAGCACAGUAGAGGCAGGUGGAAUUCCCGGUGUAGCGGUGGAAUGCGUAGAGAUCGGGAAGAACAUCAGUGGCGAAGGCGGCCUGCUGGGCUGGUUGCUGACGCUGAGGCGCGACAGCGUGGGGAGCAAACAGG
rnacentral:rRNA from 1 species